AGUAUGGCUUGGGUGGAAAGAAAACAUUGUCCUAUUCUGGUACAUAAAAGAACCGUACACCCCUGAAACAUUCUGAAUAGUAGUUCCUUCCACCCAAUCACGUUUGUAGUUAUACGUCCGGGUCAUGUGAUAACGCUGACGUCUGAUUUCUAGAGCGUUUAUUUAUAGAGAACAGAUGUCGCCCCCUAUACACCACGUCUAAUCGGUGGCGGCCAUCUUUGUGAAGACCAAACGCUUUGUGGAAAUAAGCAAUUGGCGUCAGUAGAAUGGAUCCGCGAUAAGCGGACACCGCAGUAAUUUUAUCUCGUGUAUAAGGGGUCGGAUUGUUGUGUUUGGUUCCCUAGUAAAGUAUGGCGGAUCCCCGUUCUCAAGUAGAAGUGCAGCCGCACCACGAACAGCGAAAGAUCUGCGCGUCCCGAGCGAAGUACCGAGAUGGACGGAAUCCGAGAGCAGUCAAAGUUUACACCAUUAAUCUGGAGUCUCGGUACUUGCUGGUGCAGGGGGUCCCGGCCAUCGGUGUUAUGAAGGAAUUGGUCGAGCAGUUCGCUCUGUACGGAGCAGUAGAAGAAUACAAUCCUCUGGAUGAAUACCCGGCCGAGCAGUUCACAGAGGUUUAUCUCAUCAAAUACCAGCGCGUACAGAGCGCACGAGUCGCCAAAAGGAAGUUAGACGAACGCAGUUUCUUCGGAGGAAUCCUUCAUGUCUGCUACGCCCCGGAGUUUGAGAGCGUACAAGAGACCAGAGAAAAACUACAAGACAGAAGGCGGUAUGUGGCCCGAGCAACCGCGGAAAAAGAUCGCCAGGGUACAGAGAAAAGAAAAGAUGCCCCUAACAAUUCCAGUUCAGUGUCUGUACCUGUUGAAUCAUACUGUCCGGGCCCCUCCACUUGGGGCCCCACUCCUCAGCCGGAUGAAUUUUUACAUAUGCAGCCAUCAUGUUACCCCGAACCUUAUCAGGAAUACAGAUCCACAUCUCCUUCAGGCUCUUUUUCUAGAAACCCGUCUUCUGGAGACAAUGCACAAGACGUUGUAAGGAGUAACCCCGCCAGGUUUAUGCCAAGGACUACCCAGCUACAAGAGAGGCAGAGGAGACGGGAGGCCAGCCUGGCACAUUCUCUAUCUCUUACUGACUCUCCAGAGGUUGUAGUAGGACCCAAACUACCGGAUCUGCCAAAAUUAGACCUGGAAGACGAUUCUCUAAACACAUCUGCCAAAUUAAUAAGAGGAAAACUAAAUCAGGUUUCUCAAUCCCCCACAAUAACCAAACCAGAGGCCACGAAGACUGAAACCCAAUCUGCACCUCCAGUAAAACAGAGGAGAAGAAUAUGAGGGGGGGGGGAAAAGACGCAUUGAAUAUUUAAAGGGGUAUUCCAGGAAAAAAAAACAUAUUUUUUUUGUUUUUAUAUCAACUGACUUCUUAAUCCUUCCAGUACUUAUGAGCUGCUGAAGUUGAGUUUUUUUUUCUGUCGACAAUAGUGCUCUCUGCUGACACUUCUGCUUGUCUCAGGAACUCAGUUGCAGAGUAGGAGCAAAUCCCCAUAGCAAACCUCUAAUGCUUCGGACAGUUCCUGAGACAAGCAGAGGUGUCAGCAGAGAGCACUGCGGUGAGACAGAAAAGAACAACUCAACUUUAGCAGCUGAUUACAGGAAGGAUUAAUAUUUUUAAAUAGAAUUCAUUUACAAAUCUUUAACUUUCUGGAGCCUAUUGAUAUAUAAUUUUUUUUAUUUUCCUGGAAUACUCCUUUAAGUCUUCAGAUCUGAAGGGGUAUUCCAGCAUUUAACAAAAAAUGUCUCAAUUUUAACAUCAGUGUUGAGGGAUAGCCAAUGUCAUUGUAUAAAUCUACCACAAUCGUGCACCUAAAUUCCUGUAUUGUAUUCUAAUUGUUACACAUCCACACCAUUUAUUUGGUGUAGGAUGCUAUUGUGGCACUUGUAGUCCACUGCAGGAAUCCUCCAUUGUAUGCAUUUUUAUGCUGGGGAUCGCCCCUAGCAACGGACCACAAGGGCAGGAUCUACCGUAUUUUUCGCCCUAUAGGACGCACCGGCGUAUAAGACGCACCCAAUUUAUAGGUGCAAAAUCUAAAAAAAUAAAGAUUUUGAACCCAAUAGUGGUCCGCAGAUUGAAGACCACUGCAUAGGAGGUAAUACUCACGUGUCCCCGCGGCUCCGGACCCGUCACCGCUGCCCUGGAUGUCGCUCCAUCGCUGUCGCCGCGUCCCCGUCGCUCCGGAACGUCUCUGCUGCCGGCCGAGUAUCCUCGCUCUCCAUCGCCACCAUCACGUCGUUACGCACGCCGACGCACGUACGCGAUGACGAGGAAGGAGAGCGCCGGCCAUACAGGGGAUCCCUGAACGGAGAAGACACCGAGGAGGCAGGUAAGGUCCCUCCCGGUGUCCUGUAAGCACUAACCCGGCUGUUCGGGACCGCCGCGGUAAAAUCGCGGCGGUCCCGAACAGCCCGACUGAACAGCCGGGUUAGUGUCACUUUCCCUUCAGACGCGGCGGUCAGCUUUGAUUGCCGCGUCUGAAGGGUUAAUACAGGGCAUCACCGCGAUCGGUGAUGUCCUGUAUUAGCCUCGGGUCCCGGCCGUUGAUGGCCGCAGGGACCGCCGCGAUAGGGGUGUAUUCGCCGUAUAAGACUCACCGACUUUUUCCCCCCCAGUUUUGGGGAAGAAAAAGUGCCUCUUAUACGGCGAAAAAUACGGUACUCCCCCAGUAUAAAUGCACAACUGCAUUUGGGGUUGAGCACCUCCAGCCAUUUGAGACCACAUCUUUGUUGUUGUUUAUGUCUUUAAAGAAGACACAAAAUCUGGGGACUAGAUGGACCCAAGCGGGGACUGGAGGUAACUAUAAUUUGUUUAUGUCUCUAUUUUUAUAAGAUACCGGCCGUUUGAUGGGAAAAAAAAUAAUAGUAAUACCAGAAUGCCACUUUAAUAAUACAUAAGAUAAUAUAUAUAUAUAUAUAUAUUUUUUUUAUUGUUGUAAAUUGGUAAAAAAAAAAAUUUUUUUAAACAGAUGGUUUUGGAAUUUAUUUUGCAUGUGCUACUUCAGGGUUUGGUACUGAUCUACACAGGGAUACA